GCAUAACGCGAAGAACCUUACCAAGGCUUGACAUGCAUCUCUAAGCGCGUGAAAGCGCGUGACCCUUCGGGGGAUUUGCACAGGUGCUGCAUGGCCGUCGUCAGCUCGUGUCGUGAGAUGUUGGGUUAAGUCCCGCAACGAGCGCAACCCUUGAACUUAGUUGCCAGCACUUCGGGUGGGCACUCUAGGUUGACUGCCGGUGACAAACCGGAGGAAGGCGGGGAUGACGUCAAAUCAUCAUGCCCCUUAUGACCUGGGCUACACACGUACUACAAUGGCCGGUACAACGGGUCGCGAAGCCGCGAGGCGGAGCUAAUCCUACCAAAGCCGGUCUCAGUUCGGAUUGCAGGCUGCAACUCGCCUGCAUGAAGUCGGAAUUGCUAGUAAUCGCGAAUCAGAAUGUCGCGGUGAAUACGUUCCCGGGUCUUGUACACACCG
rnacentral:rRNA from 1 species